rnacentral:lncRNA from 10 species
CUGAAAUGUCUAUUUAUUAAUAAGUGGUGCAGUAUUUAUUUAAGAUAGAACAUAAAAAAUCAGGUAAGAAUUAUUUGCAUAAUAUAUAUGGAAAUCAACCUAUUAAAGUUGUUCAAAUAUUGGACAGAGCCAGAAUAUAAAUUACACAUACAGUUUAAAAAUUACAGGAAAUCAUAUUAUAAAGAGCACUAAAGGCCACUUGUGGAAUAGUUGUGUUCCCCUGUAAGCCAGAAUGUGAAGAAAGCCUACUCGUAGCACAGAGACAAACCCAGGGAGCAAGGCACCAGAAUUCUAUGCCAUAAAAAGGGGUUAAAAAAUACAAUCCAAAAUCAAAUAUAAUGGAUUCAUGUCACUGGGAACCUCCAUUUGUUCUUCAAAGACUGGUGUUUUCCAUCACUGCUACAUUAGAAAAAGAAGGAAAAAAAAUAGCCAUAUCCUAUCUGAAGCAAGGCAGAGAUCAUUUUUCUCUUUAAAACAAGGAAGGACUGACAAAUCUGAUGAAGUCCACCUAUCUUUCUAAGUUGAUUUUUCAGGAUGGCACAGAGCCGACUUCACCUCUCCAACAGCAAAUCUCUGAUCCUUGGCAAAAUGGCUGCCCCAAAUCUUGCAACUUGGCCACCACCUGGACUCUUAACCCUCAGGGGAACUAUGGGGGUGGGAACUGCCCCCUCCUUGGAAAAGUAUUCAGAGGGGUAUAGAAGGGCCCAAUUACCAGAUCAGGUUGGCUUCCAUGGGAAACCUUGAUCUUUUAAUACUGAGAAAGAGAGACACAACUGUUCUGAGCUUUUGGCCUCCCACAGAAUGUUUUUAUAGACUCACCUGUUUCUGCAGAAUUUCAGAGCUCAGAAAUAAAGGUACAGUCUAGAGACAAAAGACCAGAGUCAGCAGAGACGUGGAGAUAUUUGAACUUGUUUGGUUAAAAACAAUGACAGGAGCUCCUUGGGGGCAGAGAACAAGGGGCACUUGUGGAUGAUCUGCAGCCACACCAAGCCCCGAGAGCUAAUGGAUUCCAAUGUGAACCAGGUGAAUAAUUUAUGAGGCAUUAUUUUCUGCCACUGACAGCUGGAUUGUGAAGCCACUCAAAGGACCUGCUGAACAGACAAGAGGAACAGCUGACCCAGGCAUCACUCUACUCUCCAGGGAACUCAUGGGUCUGUGAUCAUUUUACUGUAAAGCUGAGUGAACGUAGAAGCCCGAAGCAUUGUGGAGGAGCUAGGGCCUGAUUUGAGAGGAAGAAGGGGGAGAGAGAAUGAGCUUUCCAGGUACACGGGCUUUGGUUGAAUAUGCAGCUCUACUUCUUACAAUGUGUGACCUUUGACAAGGUCUUGUCUUCAGUUUCCUCAUCUAUAAGAUGGAGACAAUAACAUCUCCCUCAUGGGGUUGCGAUGAGGAUUGCAUGAACUUUAGAGAGAGCUAUCAUGUCACAAGCAACUCAUAAGGAGUGCUUAGGAUAAGUUUCUCUCCCCUUCCCUGACCUCACUUUUGUGGGCAGAGGAAGAGAAGGGAACAUUAACAUAAAAUAUGGUCUCAUUUUUUAUUACUCUUAGGUAUCAAAUUGCAGUCCAUUCGACAAGUCUAAGAGGAAUUACAAAUACAUUCCUGAGCACUGAGCUGGGCUUUUGACUACCUCAUUGUAAGCCAUUCUCAAGUUAUUCUUAUAUACAGCCGAUUUUUGGCGGUGUCAAAGAAAUUCAUUAUUUCCCUUGAAGCUUAUUUUAAGCCCAUAACAGUGCUAUCUGGAGGAUGAAGGCUUAGGUAGAAUGACAAUCUUUAAAAUUACUGGGCCAACUAUUGUUGUUCUAGAACUUGACCAUCCUUCUUUCUGAAUAUCUCUUAGGAGCUUUCACUUCAGCCUGACUCAGGAGAACUGAAACAUCCUACCACAGGGAUUCACAAGGACUGCUGGGGAGCCCUGCCAAAUUCUGGCCGAUUUAUCCCGAGAACAAUCUUUUGGUGAAGGCCCUAGAGUAUCUGCUUAUGUCCUGACAACAUGGGGAUUCUCUGGGACAAGGCAAGAGGACCCAAGCUGUGUUCAAAUGAGACCCAGAGAUCCCAGUGCAAAGGGACACCUUUGGUAAAACUGGCCACUUUGGGUCAUAUAGAUCCCAAAAGAAAUCAUGCCUGACUUCCUAAAAUCAAAACCAUAGGGAUUUAUCAAGAAGAAACCCUGUUUAAUUGGCCUAUAGAUGAGGAUGCAACCUAAGGCAUGACUGUUGCUGAAUGAGCCCAAGUGAUGGGCCAAAAAGGUGAACCAGUCCAAACAUGGCAGGACCAAGAAGGAACAAGCAGCAGUGGUUUUUGCUAGGCCUUUUGAAGACAGCAGGAAUCUGGGAGAAGGAACAUCAUCGUCUUUCACAGCAUGGAAACAUCAAUCUUAUUCCAGAGAAGGGAAGAAGUCCCCAAAGCACUGUUCCAGCAGUUUGAUUGAGGAACUCCAUUAAUAACCAGCCCAGGAUAAAUUUAGAAAAACGCCAAUGCUCAGCCAGCUCCAUCUUCCUUGAACUGAAGUCAACAUUUUUGGAAUUGCUUUCCUGGCUGCUACUAGAUAAAUGACUAAUAGGACAGAGCCCAUGGGCUAAAAAUAGUGAAUGAAGCAGGAACUGAGCUGAACACACAUUGAAGUCUUUCUGGC